GGUUCGAUGGUGUAGUUGGUUAUCACGUCAGUCUAACACACUGAAGGUCUCCAGUUUAAGCCUGGAUCGAAUCA